AGGAGAUCAACCAUUUUUAACCAAAAAAUUAACCAUCCCGCGUCGUUCUUCUUCAACAAAAGAACAUCGAUAGCAGCCAUUUUUUUCUAACUUUCAGCAACCUAACGCUAAGACCCUUAAGAUGGAAGCCAUUUUCUAAAAAGAAAAAGCCGAACCAAAACUCCUAAAUAGAGAACGGCAUAAAACAGAAAACAAAAAAAGAGUCCAAAGAAAGGGAAAAACGAGAGUGAGAGGGGACGGCAAUUCAGUCCAACAAACAUAGGGGAAAAGCUCGAGGUUAGGUUGAAAAUCGACGGAGAUUUGGGAAAUUCUUUUGGUCUUUUGAUUACUUCUUUAAGCUUUGUUUCUGCUCAUCCUCACAAUUUCAAAAUACAAAUGAAGAAGAAAAAGAAAAAAUGCUUCUGUUAGUUGGUGAUUAAAUUUCAGAAAUACCAAAAUAUACACACAUAUUACUGUUAGUUUCUUCCUUUUGAUGUGAGUAUUCAAAUAUGGAGUUUGAUUGAGACUUGAUACGCCGUUGAGUCGAAGUUGUCAUUCAUGUUUCCAUCACGGUUCACGGAUCAUCUUUGGUGUUGUUGUUCUCGGUUGAUUUUUCAGAGCUGAGGUUCUGUAUUUACAGAUUCUUCUACACUAAUUUAAGAGAUUUUACUCCUGAGGUCCAUUCUUAUCUAUUCUCUAUUCGUUUACCCUCUUUUAACUUUAUGUGUAUGAUUUCUUGUUGAUACUGCUUGUUAAUUAGUUUUUGUGAGUGCUCUGUUUGGUUGUUGAUUUCUGCCAUCCAAAACACUUUUCCAAACAAAGUUACUUUGAUGGAAUCUUCUAUUUAAGGUCUAUAUCUUCAUCCUUUCCCAUGUGUUGUUUAAGCCUGAAAUUAAAUAAUGGCUGGGUGAAAUAGGUUUAGGACUUAAAAUUUGGUUAAUAAAUUAAAAGAGAAAUUGAAUUUCAGUUUUAUUCUGUGACGUAAAAAUUUAAAGUUUUUUUAGGUGAUGUAAACCCGUCUCGAAUUUUGGUAUUCUCAUAGAUUUGUCGUGUCCUCGUGUUAGAGAAAUAUGGCGCUUAAAUAUUUGAGCAUGAGUGAUUAGAAAGUUCGUAUAACAGGCUAUCUGAAAGCUUUUUCCUACUUUCCUUUUGACUUGAGAUUAAAUUUUCCAAAAAAAUUAUUAAAUUGUUUGGUCAAUUGCUUGAUGUUUUUCCGAUUGUAUGGAUUAGUUAUGUCAUUUUUGCUUCAAUAGUUCUGCUAGUAUUAAGCUAAUAUUCAUAUUAUAAGUGCAAAACAUUUCUAUCAUUUUUUUACUUCUUUUUUUCCUCGUUUGGUUCCUAUUUCUGGAAGUCAUUGUUUGUUAGUUUAGGAGCAUAAAGUGAUGAUCUUUUAGAAGUAGAAUAUUCUCUAUUCGUGGGAGUGGGAAAUGACCAAAGCCCAUUAGUAAUUAAUGGUUCUCAUGUUUCAGGAUUGGGCUUGGUCAAAUGCAUGAAAUAAAAGUUAAAAAGUAUAUGAGCAUGAAAUCUCUUUUAGCAAAAGUGUUCCAUAAUCGCAGGCCUUUCACGCGCAAUUUCAAAGUAGUUUAGAAAAUGAUUCACAACCCUCGUAGUUUGCUUUAGGCGCGAUUAAUGAAUCAUCACGGCUAUGGGUACGGUUCCCAUGGUAUGGUCGUGAUACAUAAUUUCCAAAUUUGGGUGUGCAUUUCAUGUGACCCGGCAACAAUUUCCAACAAUGUUAAAUAAAACGUGUCGUGAACCGUGGGUGCAUUUCAUGUAGCAUGGCUUAUGAUGUGUUUUAAAUAACCUUGAAUUUUUCUAAAAAAUAUUAAAAGCGGUUAGAAAGUUAAAAAUUCACGUAGGUUUUAAAUGUGUAAUUAAUCAGAUAAUUAGGCCAAUUGUUAAUAGUUGAACGACCGUGCUAAAACCACGGAACCCAAGAAUGCCUAACACCUUCUCCCGGGUUAACAAAAUUCCUUACCCGGAUUUCUAUGUUCGCAGACCAUAAUUAGAGUCAACCUUCCUCAAUUCGGGAUUUAACCGGUAACUUGGGACACCAUAAAUUAUCUCAAGUGGCGACUCUGAUUUUAAUAUAAAUAAUUCCGUUUCGAUUGUCACUUAAAUUCGAAAAAACUCCAUAUCAUCCCUUCCUGGGGGUGGUAAAAAAGGAGGUUUGAUAGCUCUGGCGACUCUGCUGGGGAUAAGAACCCAUAACUUCUGGUUCAGGGUUAAGAAUACGAGCUUAGAAUAUCUGUUAUAAUUGGCUUUAUUUAUUAUCUGAUUUUUUACAUGUUUGGGCUUAAUGUGAUAAAUGCCGCUUUUACUGCUUUGAAAUUAUUUAAACUAUAUAUAAACUGCUACGAAACCCUCCUCUCUCUGAAUCUUCUAAAUCAUCUGGAAAGUGUGCACUUCGUGUGACUCCUUUUCUGUUAGAGUUAUAUCCCAAUUUUAGAACGAGGUUCAGACAAGUUGCAAAGCCGGUGAAGCUUCUGUAUUCCGGUACGCUACCCCCCCCCCCACCCGGCUUGAGCUGUCCGCUCGGGUAAGCCAGGUCUAGAACAAAUAAACCCAGGUUUUUGAACCUAGAAUAAAAUAGCCUCAUGCCGGAUCCCUAGUAGGAACUCUUGUUUGCAUCACGUGCAUCUGACUUUGCGGACUCAACACAGGGGUUAGGUCUGUCUAGGACAGGUGUACCCAAAAAUAAAAGGCUAUCCUGUUGCAUCUUAUGUGCUACAUGUUGCAAUUUUCAAGGGUAAAAGGAGUCAUUUGGCGGACCAACGAGGUUUGAGGAUAAAUGUGAAAGAAAAGAGGUUUAGGUAUAAAAAUAAAGCAAGUAGGGCCCAAUUAUAUUUUCUGUCACAUGUUUGUUAAGAAAAACAAAAACAUGAAAAAUUCAAAAAAAAAAAAAGAUUUUAGCACUUUUUCAUCAUUUUCCAAAAAAAAAUCAAAAAAAGAGGGAAAAAAAUAAAAUUCAAAAAGGGCUUACAUAUUUCAUCAUUUUCAAGGAAAAGACAAAAAAAAUAUAUUUUCUCUAAAUUAGUUGUUUUUUUAUUUCUCGCCCCUAUCCAAUCGGCCCGAACUACGCAUACCUGAUUCUCGUCUUUCCGGGCGUGUUACGUAGGCAACCCACAUAGGGUCCGGUCUUCCUAGUUAAUCUUAGGUUCUUGGCUUUGCGGGGUCUUAGCCAGAUUUUGCACUUCUAGCCACCUUUUGGCCAAAUAAGCCAUUUUGCAAAAAUAGCCACAAUCAUGUUUUGCAUGUGUCCAAUAGGAAGGGUUAUUAUCUCACAUAACGUUCUAGGUCUUUAACUUAUUUGAUUUUAAUUUUCUCAUACAGGUGUGGGUUUACUUACGGGACUUUGAGCAUGACAGACACCCCAGGACCAUCCAGUCAAGACCGCUCAUUCAGGAGUUGCUUAAGGAGAUUUUUUUUAUGUUUUGAGUUUGUUCUUCAUUUUAUGUCAUCUUUUACUUUCUAGUUUUGUACAGUAAUGUUGAGUCUUUUGUUAUUGUAUUACCUAUUUUGUAUUUGAAAAAUGUGUUAUAAAUCAAAAAAAAAUUGCAUUUUUAUAUUUCUGUUAUGUCAC
rnacentral:lncRNA from 1 species